rnacentral:rRNA from 1 species
GCGUCCGAUUAGUUUGUUGGUGAGGUAAUGGCUUACCAAGACGAUGAUCGGUAACUGGUCUGAGAGGAUGAUCAGUCACAUUGGGACUGCGACACGGCCCAGACUCCUACGGGAGGCAGCAGUGAGGAAUUUUGCGCAAUGGGGGAAACCCUGACGCAGCGACGCCGCGUGGAGGACGAAGUCUUUCGGGAUGUAAACUCCUGUCAGCAGGGAAGAUAAUGACGGUACCUGCAGAGGAAGCACCGGCUAACUAUGUGCCAGCAGCCGCGGUAAUACAUAGGGUGCAAGCGUUGUCCGGAUUUAUUGGGCGUAAAGCGCGCGUAGGCGGCAAAUUAAGUUGGAUUUGAAAUGCUGCGGCUCAACCAUGGUUUGGGUCCAAAACUGGUUUGCUAGAGAGUAGGAGAGGGAAGUAGAAUUCACGGUGUAGCGGUGAAAUGCGUAGAUAUCGUGAGGAAUACCAGUGGCGAAGGCGGCUUCCUGGACUACUUCUGACGCUAAGGCGCGAAAGCGUGGGUAGCAAACAGGAUUAGAUACCCUGGUAGUCCACGCCGUAAACGAUGUUCAUUAGGUGUGGGAGGUUUCAAUACCUUCUGUGCCGUAGCUAACGCGUUAAAUGAACCGCCUGGGGAGUACGGCCGCAAGGCUAAAACUCAAAGGAAUUGACGGGGGCCCGCACAAGCAGUGGAUCAUGUGGUUUAAUUCGAUGAUACGCGAAGAACCUUACCAGCUCUUGACAUCCAGAGAAUUCUCUAGAGAUAGAGAAGUGCCUUCGGGAACUCUGAGACAGAUGGUGCAUGGUUGUCGUCAGUUCGUGUCGUGAGAUGUUGGGUUAAGUCCCGCAACGAGCGCAACCCUCGUCCUAUGUUGCUACCUUUUGGAGCACCCUUAGGAGACUGCCUGUGGAAAACAGGAGGAAGGUGGGGAUGACGUCAAAUCAUCAUGCCUCUUACGAGCUGGGCUACACACAUGAUACAAUGGGUAGUACAAUGGGUUGCCAAGCCGCGAGGUGGA